GUGCUCACUUCAGCAGCACAUAUACAAAAAUCGGGGCAGUACAGAGAAGAUUAGCACAGCCCCGCUGCAAGAUGACACACAAAUUUGGAAGCAUUCCAUGUUAUA